rnacentral:rRNA from 1 species
AAUCAACGCUGGCGGCGUGCCUCAGACAUGCAAGUCGAACGAUUAAAGCUCUCUUCGGAGAGUGUAUAGAGUGGCGCACGGGUGAGUAACACGUAAGUAAUCUACCUUUGAGUGGGGAAUAACCCGGGGAAACCCGAGCUAAUACCGCAUAAUGCAGCGGCACCGCAAGGUGACAGUUGUUAAAGGAGCAAUCCGCUUAAAGAGGAGCUUGCGGCAGAUUAGCUAGNGGUUAAGGUAAUGGCUUACCAAGGCUACGAUCUGUAUCCGGUCUAAGAGGACGGUCGGACACACUGACACUGAAUAACGGGUCAGACUCCUACGGGAGGCAGCAGUCGGGAAUUUUGGGCAAUGGGCGAAAGCCUGACCCAGCAACGCCGCGUGAAGGAUGAAGUAUUUCGGUAUGUAAACUU